rnacentral:rRNA from 1 species
CCUACGGGAGGCAGCAGUGAGGAAUAUUGGUCAAUGGACGAGAGUCUGAACCAGCCAAGUAGCGUGAAGGAUGACUGCCCUAUGGGUUGUAAACUUCUUUUAUAAGGGAAUAAAAUGUGCCACGUGUGGGAUUUUGUAUGUACCAUAUGAAUAAGGAUGGGUUAACUCCGUGCCAGCAGCCGCGGUAAUACGGAGGAUCCGAGCUUUAGCCGGAUUUAUUAGGUUUAAAGGGAGCGUAGGGGGCUUGUUAAGGCAGUUGUGAAAGUUUGCGGCUCAACCGUAAAAUUGCAGUUGAAACUGGCAGUCUUGAUUACAGUAGAGGUGGGCGGAAUUCGUGGUGUAGCGGUUAAAUGCUUAGCUAUCACGAAGAACUCCGAUUGCGAAGGCAGUUCACUGGACUGCAACUGACACUGAGGCUCGAAAGUGUGGGUAUCAAACAGGAUUAGAUACCCCAGUAGUC